AAUAGAUACCCAGGUAGUCCACCCCGUAAACGUUGGGAACUAGUUGUGGGGUCCUUUCCACGGAUUCCGUGACGCAGCUAACGCAUUAAGUUCCCCGCCUGGGGAGUACGGCCGCAAGGCUAAAACUCAAAGGAAUUGACGGGGACCCGCACAAGCGGCGGAGCAUGCGGAUUAAUUCGAUGCAACGCGAAGAACCUUACCAAGGCUUGACAUACACCAGAACACCCUAGAAAUAGGGGACUCUUUGGACACUGGUGAACAGGUGGUGCAUGGUUGUCGUCAGCUCGUGUCGUGAGAUGUUGGGUUAAGUCCCGCAACGAGCGCAACCCUCGUUCUAUGUUGCCAGCACGUAAUGGUGGGAACUCAUGGGAUACUGCCGGGGUCAACUCGGAGGAAGGUGGGGAUGACGUCAAAUCAUCAUGCCCCUUAUGUCUUGGGCUUCACGCAUGCUACAAUGGCCGGUACAAAGGGCUGCAAUACCGUGAGGUGGAGCGAAUCCCAAAAAGCCGGUCCCAGUUCGGAUUGAGGUCUGCAACUCGACCUCAGU
rnacentral:rRNA from 1 species